UUAAGCGACUAAGCGUACACGGUGGAUGCCCUGGCAGUCAGAGGCGAUGAAGGACGUGCUAAUCUGCGAUAAGCGUCGGUGAGGUGAUAUGAACCGUUAUAACCGGCGAUUUCCGAAUGGGGAAACCCAGUGUGUUUCGACACACUAUCAUUAACUGAAUCCAUAGGUUAAUGAGGCGAACCGGGGGAACUGAAACAUCUAAGUACCCCGAGGAAAAGAAAUCAACCGAGAUUCCCCCAGUAGCGGCGAGCGAACGGGGAGGAGCCCAGAGCCUGAAUCAGUGUGUGUGUUAGUGGAAGCGUCUGGAAAGGCGUGCGAUACAGGGUGACAGCCCCGUACACAAAAAUGCACAUAUUGUGAGCUCGAUGAGUAGGGCGGGACACGUGGUAUCCUGUCUGAAUAUGGGGGGACCAUCCUCCAAGGCUAAAUACUCCUGACUGACCGAUAGUGAACCAGUACCGUGAGGGAAAGGCGAAAAGAACCCCGGCGAGGGGAGUGAAAAAGAACCUGAAACCGUGUACGUACAAGCAGUGGGAGCCUCUUAAUGGGGUGACUGCGUACCUUUUGUAUAAUGGGUCAGCGACUUAUAUUCUGUAGCAAGGUUAACCGAAUAGGGGAGCCGAAGGGAAACCGAGUCUUAACUGGGCGUUAAGUUGCAGGGUAUAGACCCGAAACCCGGUGAUCUAGCCAUGGGCAGGUUGAAGGUUGGGUAACACUAACUGGAGGACCGAACCGACUAAUGUUGAAAAAUUAGCGGAUGACUUGUGGCUGGGGGUGAAAGGCCAAUCAAACCGGGAGAUAGCUGGUUCUCCCCGAAAGCUAUUUAGGUAGCGCCUCGUGAAUUCAUCUCCGGGGGUAGAGCACUGUUUCGGCAAGGGGGUCAUCCCGACUUACCAACCCGAUGCAAACUGCGAAUACCGGAGAAUGUUAUCACGGGAGACACACGGCGGGUGCUAACGUCCGUCGUGAAGAGGGAAACAACCCAGACCGCCAGCUAAGGUCCCAAAGUCAUGGUUAAGUGGGAAACGAUGUGGGAAGGCCCAGACAGCCAGGAUGUUGGCUUAGAAGCAGCCAUCAUUUAAAGAAAGCGUAAUAGCUCACUGGUCGAGUCGGCCUGCGCGGAAGAUGUAACGGGGCUAAACCAUGCACCGAAGCUGCGGCAGCGACACUAUGUGUUGUUGGGUAGGGGAGCGUUCUGUAAGCCUGUGAAGGUGGCCUGUGAGGGUUGCUGGAGGUAUCAGAAGUGCGAAUGCUGACAUAAGUAACGAUAAAGCGGGUGAAAAGCCCGCUCGCCGGAAGACCAAGGGUUCCUGUCCAACGUUAAUCGGGGCAGGGUGAGUCGACCCCUAAGGCGAGGCCGAAAGGCGUAGUCGAUGGGAAACAGGUUAAUAUUCCUGUACUUGGUGUUACUGCGAAGGGGGGACGGAGAAGGCUAUGUUGGCCGGGCGACGGUUGUCCCGGUUUAAGCGUGUAGGCUGGUUUUCCAGGCAAAUCCGGAAAACCAAGGCUGAGGCGUGAUGACGAGGCACUACGGUGCUGAAGCGACAAAUGCCCUGCUUCCAGGAAAAGCCUCUAAGCAUCAGGUAACAUCAAAUCGUACCCAAAACCGACACAGGUGGUCAGGUAGAGAAUACCAAGGCGCUUGAGAGAACUCGGGUGAAGGAACUAGGCAAAAUGGUGCCGUAACUUCGGGAGAAGGCACGCUGAUAUGUAGGUGAAGCGACUUGCUCGUGGAGCUGAAAUCAGUCGAAGAUACCAGCUGGCUGCAACUGUUUAUUAAAAACACAGCACUGUGCAAACACGAAAGUGGACGUAUACGGUGUGACGCCUGCCCGGUGCCGGAAGGUUAAUUGAUGGGGUUAGCGGUAACGCGAAGCUCUUGAUCGAAGCCCCGGUAAACGGCGGCCGUAACUAUAACGGUCCUAAGGUAGCGAAAUUCCUUGUCGGGUAAGUUCCGACCUGCACGAAUGGCGUAAUGAUGGCUAGGCUGUCUCCACCCGAGACUCAGUGAAAUUGAACUCGCUGUGAAGAUGCAGUGUACCCGCGGCAAGACGGAAAGACCCCGUGAACCUUUACUAUAGCUUGACACUGAACAUUGAGCCUUGAUGUGUAGGAUAGGUGGGAGGCUUUGAAGUGUGGACGCCAGUCUGCAUGGAGCCGACCUUGAAAUACCACCCUUUAAUGUUUGAUGUUCUAACGUUGGCCCGUAAUCCGGGUUGCGGACAGUGUCUGGUGGGUAGUUUGACUGGGGCGGUCUCCUCCUAAAGAGUAACGGAGGAGCACGAAGGUUGGCUAAUCCUGGUCGGACAUCAGGAGGUUAGUGCAAUGGCAUAAGCCAGCUUGACUGCGAGCGUGACGGCGCGAGCAGGUGCGAAAGCAGGUCAUAGUGAUCCGGUGGUUCUGAAUGGAAGGGCCAUCGCUCAACGGAUAAAAGGUACUCCGGGGAUAACAGGCUGAUACCGCCCAAGAGUUCAUAUCGACGGCGGUGUUUGGCACCUCGAUGUCGGCUCAUCACAUCCUGGGGCUGAAGUAGGUCCCAAGGGUAUGGCUGUUCGCCAUUUAAAGUGGUACGCGAGCUGGGUUUAGAACGUCGUGAGACAGUUCGGUCCCUAUCUGCCGUGGGCGCUGGAGAACUGAGGGGGGCUGCUCCUAGUACGAGAGGACCGGAGUGGACGCAUCACUGGUGUUCGGGUUGUCAUGCCAAUGGCACUGCCCGGUAGCUAAAUGCGGAAGAGAUAAGUGCUGAAAGCAUCUAAGCACGAAACUUGCCCCGAGAUGAGUUCUCCCUGACUCCUUGAGGGUCCUGAAGGAACGUUGAAGACGACGACGUUGAUAGGCCGGGUGUGUAAGCGCAGCGAUGCGUUGAGCUAACCGGUACUAAUGAACCGUGAGGCUUAACCUU
rnacentral:rRNA from 1 species